UACAGAGGUCUCAAGCGUUGUUCGGAUUCAUUGGGCGUAAAGGGUGCGUAGGCGGCGCGGUAAGUCGGGUGUGAAAUCUUGGAGCUUAACUCCGAAACUGCAUUCGAUACUGCCGUGCUUGAGGACUGGAGAGGAGACUGGAAUUUACGGUGUAGCGGUGAAAUGCGUAGAUAUCGUAAGGAAGACCAGUGGCGAAGGCGGGUCUCUGGACAGUUCCUGACGCUGAGGCGCGAAAGCUAGGGUAGCAAACGGG
rnacentral:rRNA from 1 species